rnacentral:tRNA from 1 species
UGGUCUGUUGGUCCAGUUGGUUAGGACGCCUCCCUGUCACGGAGGAGAUCACGAGUUCGAGUCUCGUACAGACCGUCC